UUGAAUAUGAUUCUUUUUGAU
rnacentral:piRNA from 1 species